ensembl:lncRNA
GACAGAAGCCUGAACCGAGGCAAAUGUUCACUUUAACAAGCAGGUGAUCAGACCUCGCUGACCGCCAGAUUUCUUACUCGGGGCUACAUUGUUGCAUAAUGUAAUUCAUCACUCGUUAACAAGCUAAACUAGCCAAUCGGUUGAUCAGAUGUAAAUGAUUUGCAGAGUUGGAGAAUUAAAUUUCCCAAUGAUGACAUUUGGAAAAAUCCCCAACCCCCCCCCCCCCCCUUUAACCCAAUAGAAACAGGAGUCUAUUAAGCCACAGUGCAGGUUACACAGUUACUCUCACUGGCAAACCUUCCAGCACAUCUGGACUGGUGUUCAGUCCAACGACACUCUGAUCACCUCUUUGUCAGGCGAUCUUGUUACAAGGAGAUUAUUUUAAACUGCAACCUCAGUGUUUAUCUGUAGUGCAGCUGGAACGCCCGAGUUUCUGUACCGAGACUUAAUCAGUACCAACAAAAACUUUGCCUUAAAUCUGUCAAUAACCUGUAUUUCUACUCUGAUCAGACGACUCCUAAUCUGACGGGUUUUAGACACAUAGUGAGCAUUUUUAUGGCGUUUCGAGUUCAGUAACAGCAGUAAACUAAAUGUUUUCCACUACAAGUACUUGGGGACAAAUAAACAACAUAUCAGUGAAGUCUGUUGAUUCUCCAAAGAGCCUCUUCCUGUGGGUGGACUUUGGUUUCAUUGGACUGCAGCUGGUAGUCCUCGUUCAGCUCUAACAUCCUCAGUGAGCUUGAUGUAGUGGCACAUGAACCAGUACACCUUCUACUGGUUCUGGUGUCCCUUCAGCUUGCAGUAGGUCGUCAGCAGCUGCAGUCCAACAGCAAAGCUGGAGUCUGUCAGCAGGGUGACAUCCUCUGUGGAGGAGCAGCGCACUGAUAUUUAGUACAACAAGGACCCUGUGAAGGCGUCAGGAAGGGAAAACAAGAUGAACCGUAGCAGCUGAACUUCUUAUAAGGGCGAGAGGACUGUCCCAGUACAGGUGGCAAGAAAAUAAAUUCAAUGCUUAAAUUUGUCAAUAAAUAUACUUGAGCAACACGACCACGUAAAGUUUGUAUGUGGAAAAGACUAAUAAGUGUAAUAUUUCAGAGUUCAGAGGAUUUUACUUUGAUGCUGUUUGAAAGAAUCUCCCUGUAACUUUUCCCAGCAUUCCCGGCUGCAGGAUACAGAAACUGAUGACCUAUUUCUCUUUGGGAGCGGUGCCAUCUAACUCACUGAAAUUGCCUCCUUGUCAUUAACUGCAUUCCUUCACAUUUAGCAGAACUGAAAUUCGCUUUUUCAUGUUUUUACCUGCCUAUUUAUUAAAGGUGCUUUGAGAAAGCAGCCUCUGCGUUAAUAAGAGUCUGCAGUGACCCUGCAGCCGUCGAGGUUGCCGAUGUAUGUUCUAUUUUUUCUACACUAUAGAGAUGAAUUUUAAAGAGUCCAUUUGGAUUUUUAAUGCGCUUUGUUUCCUCUCUUUCCUACUGAAAACUGUGCUUUGCACUUUUAUUUAAAUUUGCGAGGACAUUUGAACAGCUGUGUGCUAAAUUUGUUAAUGUUUAAGAAUGUUAAUUGUACAUUUAUAAGAUGUCUUAUGGAUUGUGUGCUCCCCUCCUCCUCCCGGCCGAGCCUCGGGCGUCACAGAGUUCGUCUCCAUCAGGCCGAUGUUACCUGUCGACACAGGAGAGACCGGUCCACUCUCGUCGUCUCCUCUUGAAGGAAAAUAUGAAAAUACUUCCAGAUUAUCAUCGAAACAUUUUGUAAAAAGUCAUGUGUUCGUUUCAGUAAAGAAAUCUGCUUAAGCACC